rnacentral:rRNA from 1 species
UACAGAGGUCCCAAGCGUUGUUCGGAUUCACUGGGCGUAAAGGGUGCGUAGGCGGUCGGGUAAGUCUGAUGUGAAAUCUCACAGCUUAACUGUGAAACUGCAUUGGAUACUAUCCGGCUCGAGGAAUGGAGGGGAGACUGGAAUACUUGGUGUAGCAGUGAAAUGCGUAGAUAUCAAGUGGAACACCAGUGGCGAAGGCGGCUCACUGGCCGAUACUGACGCUGAGGCACGAAAGCGGUGGGGAGCAAACAGG